rnacentral:rRNA from 1 species
UACGUAGGGUGCAAGCGUUAAUCGGAAUUACUGGGCGUAAAGGGUGCGUAGGCGGUUUGGUAAGUCUUGUGUGAAAUCUACAGGCUCAACUUGUAGUCUGCACGAGAAACUGCCGGGCUUGAGUGUGGGAGAGGUGAGUGGAAUUCCUGGUGUAGCGGUGAAAUGCGUAGAUAUCAGGAGGAACACCUGUGGCGAAAGCGGCUCACUGGACCAUAACUGACGCUGAUGCACGAAAGCUAGGGGAGCAAACAGG